ensembl:lincRNA
GGUUGCUUGGUGAAGUGGCAGCAGAAAUGGAGAGGAGAAAUUGUUUCAAGGCAUUUUGCUUAAAUAAAACCAACAGAUCUUAGUGUCUGACUAGAGGUGCCCGGUGGUAGCAUUGAUAUCAAGAUCGGGUCCAAGUGGAAUUUUGAAACCAUUUUCCUUGUAUCAGAGAGGGAAUUUGAUGAGGAGCCUGAAGCCAAUAAGGGUUUAGUGGGGGUACUGGAGGCCGAGUUGGCUCCAAAGCUGGAGAGAUAGCUGUGAAUUGGGGCAGAGGCCUCAGCCCGGAAGGCAGGAGGGCCCAAGGGCGGGAAAGGCGUGGAGCCUGCGCCAUGUGAGCGAUUUGGCAUGCGCAAUGGGGCAUGCAUGCUAGGAGGCGAGGCGAAGGGCAUGCGUCCUAGGAGGCGAGGCGAGGGGCAUGCGUGCUAGGAGGCGAGGCGAGGGGCAUGCGUGCUAGGAGGCGAGGCGAGGGCCAGGCGCUAGGGCUAGAAAGGAGGCAGGGCUGGCGCUCUAGGGACUCCUGGAGCUCUCCUCCUGUGAGCCUGGACCCGGCACCUCACGCAGCCCAUCUCCCACAGCUUCCGUCCACGGAGGCCGGGGCCUCACCAGGAAAGUGGUUUGCCCUCCAAUCAGUGGUCUGCCUUCAUUUUUCAGAUUGAUGAAGUCUGCCUCAGAGAAGGGGGUAGGUAACAAGACCGUGUCGAUGUGUCUAAUCAGCUGGGA